rnacentral:rRNA from 1 species
GACGAACGCUGGCGGCGUGCUUAACACAUGCAAGUCGAACGGUAAGGCCCUUCGGGGUACACGAGUGGCGAACGGGUGAGUAACACGUGGGUGAUCUGCCCUGCACUUCGGGAUAAGCCUGGGAAACUGGGUCUAAUACCGGAUAGGACCACUGCCUGCAUGGGUGGUGGAAAGCUUUUGCGGUGUGGGAUGGGCCCGCGGGCCUAUCAGCUUGUUGGGGGGGUGAUGGCCUACCAAGGCGACGACGGGUAGCCGGCCUGAGAGGGUGACCGGCCACACUGGGACUGAGAUACGGCCCAGACUCCUACGGGAGGGAGCAGUGGGGAAUAUUGUACAAUGGGCGCAAGCCGGAUGCAGCGACGCCGCGUGAGGGAUGACGGCCUUCGGGUUGUAAACCUCUUUCAGCACCGACGAAGCGCAAGUGACGGUAGGUGCAGAAGAAGGACCGGCCAACUACGUGCCAGCAGCCGCCGUAA